UUCUUUUUUUCUUUUUCUUUUUUUUAUUCUAACUUUUCAAACAAGGCCUAAAUCGUACGCACAGCACCGAUCAAUCAACGCCAAAGUGACUUCUAUCAUCCGAGGUAGUGCAUCUUCUUUCUUCUUUCUUUUUCCUUACUUUUUUCUUGAUCUACUUUCCAAGGCAAGAUGAUUGAUCAACAGAAGUUAAGAGAAAUAAAUAAAUGAAAAGAAAAAGUUUGAUAGCUAAUGGUUACCUACUCACGAAGCUUAACUAUAAAGAAAAAUAGGAGAAUCGAUUGUAGUUUCCUUCUCGAGGGGAACUUUUUCAUGGUUGGAUUCUCAGUAUCUUUGCUCCUCGUUUGUCCCUACCUUCUUUCUACUUCUUAGGAGUUAAGAAUCACAAAAGUAGAAGAAAAGGAAUAUGAGAAAUGCAAUGCUACUUGAGUAGCUCCUUGAGAAGGUAGGGCCCGAAGGGGAAGCCUGAUCAAUUGCUUCCUUUGAGGUGAUCAAGAAUUAUUUGCAUGAAGAAAGUAUCAAGUCUUAUUUACAUCAAAAAAAAAAAAAAGGGAGAAAAUAAAAAAGAAUAAUAAUAUGUUCACCAGUUAAAGUUCCCGUGUGUUCAUCUCCGAAGAGACUUCUUAUAUUUCCUUUUCCAAAUUUUCGUACUUUCAUGGCUCUAGAAUUUACAUGAAGAAGAUUUUUUGUUUUGCUUAAGUGAGAAAGGCUUGAUCCUCUGAUUUUUGCAGUGAUCUGCAAGUCUAGUUUGUAUUUUAGCUCGAUGAAAAUAGCAAAUAUCUUGCUAAUUUUCUUGCCAAUUUUGCAACUGAUCAAAGAUAUGUACACAAAACUUAAGAAUAUGUUUCUUCAAGAGUUUGAAGCAUUUAAGGAUCAUAUAUAUAUAAUCACAGGCCCAAAGCAACAUAACCAUCAUCAUCGUCGUCGUCAUUACACAACCAUCUUCUACGACCAACAUGUUGACGUUUGAUGAUAUGAAAGAGUUACAGACACCAAAAGCCAGAAGGGAUUUUUUUUUUUUUUUAAAAAAAAGGCAAAUCUGAGAAGAGAACCAUAGCAAAGAUUCCGUUAUUGGUAGGAGGCAGGCUUUGUAGUUUAUAUAGUUGUAGUGGUAGUGAUCUCUUAGCAGAGUUGAUCACCAGGAUGUGCACGAAGAUUUCUAAAAUAUGAUUUGGGGUUGGCCUCAAAUGCAGGUCUUGGCAUCCUACAGUUUCUGCCUGGAGCUUUCAUCAUCUUGACUCUUCUCCCGCCUCCACAUUUGCAACAGCACUUAUAGCAGCAAUAGAGCAACAGAGACAGAACAACGCCAGCAAUGGCAAUUGGUAAAGCAAUCCGCAGCCAGUGAUGCAGCUUCUCCCCUCUUGUUUCCGGUGGAAAUAUCUUGUCAAACCAUUCCAAGAAUUGCCCCCAAAGGUUUUCCAUCGCUUGCCAUAGUUCCUUCAGCUUCUCCACCACAAACUUUUCUACGCUCUCUAUCCCCAUCUCUGAUCACUCCUCUCUAUUCAGUACUCAGUCCCUGCUCCCUUUGAUUGCUUCCUUACAUAUCUGUGUCAUUAGAAUAAAUAUCCCCCGUUAGUUGACUACGCUUGGACAAUGGUCCACAAGGGGGAAAAAUGAUUGCAUUUUUCCAUUUAAAAAAUAUUAUUAUAUUGUAA
rnacentral:lncRNA from 1 species